rnacentral:rRNA from 1 species
UACGGAGGGUGCAAGCGUUAUCCGGAUUCACUGGGUUUAAAGGGUGCGUAGGAGGGCAGGUAAGUCAGUGGUGAAAUCUUCGAGCUUAACUCGGAAACUGCCGUUGAUACUAUCUGUCUUGAAUACCGUGGAGAUGAGCGGAAUAUGUCAUGUAGCGGUGAAAUGCUUAGAUAUGGCACAGAACACCAAUAGUGAAGACAGCUUACGAGGGCGAAACUGACGCUGAGGCACGAAAGCGUGGGGAUCGAACAGG